rnacentral:rRNA from 1 species
UACGAAGGGGGCUAGCGUUGCUCGGAAUCACUGGGCGUAAAGGGCGCGUAGGCGGCACCGCAAGUCGACUGUGAAAUCUCCGGGCUUAACCCGGAAAGGUCAGCCGAUACUGCGGGGCUAGAGUGCAGAAGGGGCAACUGGAAUUCUUGGUGUAGCGGUGAAAUGCGUAGAUAUCAAGAGGAACACCUGCGGCGAAGGCGGGUUGCUGGGCCGACACUGACGCUGAUGCGCGAAAGCCAGGGGAGCGAACGGG